UAUUUCUCUUCAAAAAAUUCUAAAAUCUUUCAUCACUGCGCCCUUCCAAUUGUCCACCAAAAUCCAUUUUCAAUCUAAAUCCUCCUUGCACAAGCUCUCAACAAACUCUACUCACACAACAAUCUUCGUGUAACGCUCCUUGCGCAAACUCUUUCAUUCUCACGCAAAACAAUCUUCAUUGUCUUCUCUCUCAAGAACCCUCUCGACAUCGCUCGACCUGAAUGAGAAAGGGGAAAAACAUGAUUAGGGUUUCUGUGUCGAGUACAGUUUUCUCGUGAUUUUCCCCCUUUUCUCGCAACUCUACAUCGAUUAGGGUUUUGGCAUCUUGCGAGACUUGCAAAAGUUUUACCUCUUCGUGACUUGGUGAGCUUGGUAUGUAUUUUCAUAGUUGCUCUAUUAUCGCUCAACCUUUGCAUCAAUUACGUUUGCAUUACUCUAAAAAUAACUCUAUAAUCAUCUUCAAAUGAUUGAUUUUGAUAUCGCUCUUUAUUCUAUUUCCUAUUUGCUGUUUUUUAAUCUAUGACAUCUUGUGGAUUCUAAAAUAUGAGAAAUUCAUCUCUCUAAUCUUAGAAACACUUUAAAAACUUGAAGCAUUAAGGAUGGGUAUAUGGUUAUUUCUGUUGAUUGUUCAUAUAACUUGAGAUAUUGGUUGUUUAUUUUAAUCUCUCUGCACUAUGUUAAUUAGUGGGAAGAACCAUCAUAGUUAGAGCAUUAGUAUCCUUAAUCUGCAUAUGAAGUGUUUGCAAAAUGUCCUAAGUAAGCGGAGGUACUUUAUUAUGCAUGAAGGUGGUAAAUAGUAGCAUUGCGGAAAUGAACUUUUGCAUCUCAACAUUGUUAGAUGCUCUUUGAUAAAUCGAGAAGCUUCUGUUAGCCCGAAAGUAAUCCUUACUUGGCCUUACCGUUGAGGUGUUUGUUAACAUGAGCUUGAAAUUUGACUUGAGAUCAUGCUUCUUGUUAGUUAUAGCUGCAAUUUUCUUGAUUUCAUUGUUCUAUCAAUAAUGGGAUGUGAUAUGAGUACAGGAAAUAUAAGAUAUAAGUUAUUUUAUAAUUUUAUUUGAGAGUAUACUAAUUUUUGUUAAUUUUCUAUCUAAUAUUUUUAAUGUCUUUUUUUAUAUAAUUGAUUUAAUGUUGCAG
rnacentral:lncRNA from 1 species